GAUGAACGCUGGCGGCGUGCCUAAUACAUGCAAGUCGAGCGAACGGACGAGAAGCUUGCUUCUCUGAUGUUAGCGGCGGACGGGUGAGUAACACGUGGAUAACCUACCUAUAAGACUGGGAUAACUUCGGGAAACCGGAGCUAAUACCGGAUAAUAUUUUGAACCGCAUGGUUCAAAAGUGAAAGACGGUCUUGCUGUCACUUAUAGAUGGAUCCGCGCUGCAUUAGCUAGUUGGUAAGGUAACGGCUUACCAAGCCAACGAUGCAUAGCCGACCUGAGAGGAUGAUCAGCCACACUGGGACUGAGACACGGCCCAGACUCCUACGGGAGGCAGCAGUGGGGAAUUUUGGACAAUGGGCGAAAGCCUGACGGAGCAACGCCGCGUGCGGAAUGAAGGCCUUCGGAUUGUAAACCUCUUUUGUACGGAACGAAAAGAUGUUUACUAAUAAAGAGAGAUCAUGACGGUACCUAAAGAAAAAGCACCGGCUAACUACGGG
rnacentral:rRNA from 1 species